UACGGGGGGAGCAAGCGUUGUUCGGAUUUACUAGGCGUAAAGGGCGCGUAGGCGGCACCGCGAGUCGACUGUGAAAUCUCCGGGCUUAACUCGGAAAGGUCAGCCGAUACUGCGGGGCUAGAGUGCAGAAGGGGCAACUGGAAUUCUCGGUGUAGCGGUGAAAUGCGUAGAUAUCUGGAGGAACACCGGUGGCGAAGGCGGCCUGCUGGGCCACGACCGACACUGAGGUGCGAAAGCGUGGGGAGCGAACCGG
rnacentral:rRNA from 1 species